rnacentral:rRNA from 1 species
UACGGAGGAUCCGAGCGUUAUCCGGAUUUAUUGGGUUUAAAGGGUGCGUAGGCGGCCUAUUAAGUCAGGGGUGAAAGACGGUAGCUUAACUAUCGCAGUGCCUUUGAUACUGAUGGGCUUGAAUGUAGUUGAGGUAGGCGGAAUGUGACAAGUAGCGGUGAAAUGCAUAGAUAUGUCACAGAACACCAAUUGCGAAGCAGCUUACUAAAGUAUGAUUGACGCUGAGGCACGAAAGCGUGGGGAGCAAACAGG